GCUUUCUUAGUAUAAUUAGUACUGCUGACUUCCAAUCACCAGGUUCCAUCAACACAAUGGAAGAGAGCA
rnacentral:tRNA from 1 species